GCUUACGGCCACACCCCCGCCUGGUUCCACGCCCGAUCUCGUUGAUCUCGGAAGCUAAAAGGUAGGUUGGGCCUGGUUAGUACUUGGAUGGGAGACCGCCUGGGAAUACCAGGUGCUGUAAGCU
rnacentral:rRNA from 1 species